rnacentral:rRNA from 1 species
AACGAACGCUGGCGGCAGGCUUAACACAUGCAAGUCGAACGCAUCCUUCGGGCUGAGUGGCAGACGGGUGAGUAACGCGUGGGAACGUGCCCUUCAGUUCGGGAUAACCCAGGGAAACUUGGGCUAAUACCGGAUACGUGCGAGAGCAGAAAGAUUUAUCGCUGAAGGAUCGGCCCGCGUCUGAUUAGCUAGUUGGUGGGGUAAUGGCCCAACAAGGCGACGACCAGUAGCUGGUCUGAGAGGAUGAUCAGCCACAUUGGGCCUGAAACACGGCCCAAACUCCUACUAGAGGCAGCAGUAGUGAAUAUUGGACAAUGGGCGCAAGCCUGCUCCAGCCAUGCCGCGUGAGUGAUGAAGGCCUUAGGAUUGUAAAGCUCUUUCGUCCGGGACGAUAACGACGGUACCGGAAGAAGAAGCCCCGGCUAACUUCGUGCCAGCCGCCGCCGUAACAC